UACACGGUUGUCCGGGCCUGGGUAUGUGU
rnacentral:sRNA from 1 species